rnacentral:lncRNA from 1 species
GGAUCGGGUGGAGAAGCCAGGCCACCCAUAGGAAGAGCACGCGCAACACCAGGACCACCAGCUUAACAUGAAUCAACAGUGUGGUGAUGCAGCAGCAAAAAAGAGCUAAUGCUAUUCUAGGCUGCAUCAACACGGUGGCCAUAUACAGAGGUACCUCAGGUUACAGACACUUCAGGUUACAGACGCUUCAGGUUACAGACUCCCUAACCCAGAAAUAGUACCUCGGGUUAAGAACUUUGCUUCAGGAUGAGAAUAGAAAUCGUGCGGCGCAAUGGCAGCAGGAGGCCCCAUUAGCUAAAGGUUAAGAACAGUUUCAGGUUAAGAACGGACCUCCGGAACGAAUUAAGUUCUUACCCCGAGGUACCACUCUAUGUCCUCUUUUUCCAGGACAAGUCCUUUUCUUCUUCUUCAUGGAUCUUAGAAAUGAGAGCCGUCAUAGCGCUCCAUAGUUAAAAGUGGAAGUCGACAAAUGUUUUUGGCUCUUAGAAAUAUGGCAGCUCUAAUAGAAGUAUAGUGUCCAGAUGAAGGGAAGUCAUGGUAUCACAUCUGCCCUCCCAUCAGAUGUUGAAUAAAUAAGCAACUAUCGGGCUUUUAGAAGGCAUCUGAAGGCAGCCCUGUUUAGGGAAGCUUUUAAUAUUGGAUGAAUCAUUGUAUUUUAAUAUUCUGCUGGAAGCCGCCCAGAGUGGCUGGGAAAACCCAGCCAGAUGGGCAGGGUAUUAAUAAUAAUAAUAAUAAUAAUAAUAAUAAUAAUAAAUUCUGCCUCGGUCAGACCACACCUGGAAUACUGUGUCCAGUUCUAGGCACCACAGUUUAAGAAGGGCGUUGACAAGCUGGAAUGUGUGCAAAGGAAGGCAGCUAAGAUGAUCAGUUGGUCUGGAAACCAAGCCUUACGAGGAGCCCUUGAAGGAGCUGGCUACGUUUCAUCUGGAAAAGAGGAGACUGAGAGGAGAAGGAUAGCCAUCUUCAAAUACCUCAAGGGCUGUCACAUGGAAGAUGGAGCAAGCUUGUUUUCUUCUACUCUGGAGGGUAGAAUGUGAACCAAUGGCUUCAAGUUAUAAGAAAGGAGAUUCUGACAAAAUGUAUGGAAAAACUUUCUGACAGUAAGAGCUGUUCGACACUGGAACAGUCCUCCUUGGGAGGUUGUGGACUCCCCUUCCUUGGAGGUUUUUAAGCAGAGGUUGGAUGGCCCUCUGUCACGUAUGCUUUAGUUGAGAUUCCUGCAUUGCAGGGGGUUGGACUAGAUGACCCUUGGGUCCCUUCCAACUGUACGAUUCUUUGAACACAGAGACACACCAUACAUUCAAAGCACGUUCAAUGCACAUGCCUCUCCUCGCAAAAGGAAGGAUCCUGGGAACCGUAGUUGAAGGAUUCUGGGAAUUGUAGUUGCCAUGUUUUCUUUGAGGGAAGUUGUGUGCUUUAAAUGUACAUACCCUCCAACAUUUCUCUGAUGAAAUUAUUAUUAUUAUUAUUACUUAUUAUAUUUAUACCCCACCCAUCUGACUUGGUUGCCCCAGCCAUUCUGGGCAGCUUCCGACAUAUAUAAAAACAUCAUUAAACAUUUUUUUAAAAAAUUUCCCUAUACAGGGCUGCCUUCAGAUAGCUCAGGGCUCGGAUAACUCCAUACCCUCCAACAUUUCUCCAAUCAAAAUAGGGACGUCCUAAGGAAAAGUGGGACAUUCUGGGAUCAAAUCAGAAACUGGGAUGGCUUCUGUAAAUCCAGAACCUUCCCCCUGCUUAGAAGUAAGUCCCACUGGGUUUUGUGAUGGUUACUCCCAAGGAAGUGUGGGCAAGAUGGCAUCUGAGGCUUUAUAAACAACCUAGGUCUAACAGGAGUGGAGAGAGACUCCUAGCAAGAUUACAGAUGCUUUAGGUCUGAAUCUUCGUUCUUCCCUUUUAAUUUCAUUCCAGGCAGAAACUUGAAGCUUCAAAGACAGGGGUCUAAUUUGUAGCUAUUUCAGAACACUUUGGCAGGAGGAAAACUGAGCAGCUGAACAUAAUAAUUCUUCAACGUAGAAGAUGCUUAUUAGCCCCACAGUCUAGGAAGAGCUAGUGAGCCACAUGUAGUCAUCCUCAGACUUCUUACCAAAUUCUGUUGCAUUUAAAAACAACAACAAGAGUUUGCCACCUGAUAUUUAUAUAAACAAUGGCAUCUUGAGUAGAAAUCGUGUAUAUUUGUUAUGUUUAUUAUGAUAUAGCUGUAGUAGUUACAAGAAAUCAAAUUGAUGCUGUCACCAUAUGUGUAAUUGCAAACUGCAAAAAAGUAAAAACAACAAACCUUGCUACCAUUUUUAACCAAAGAGUGUCUUGCCAUGCAAGCAACAUUCCAAAGUAUGAAAUACCAGUUCAUUAAAUAUGGG